UGGGGAAUUUUGGACAAUGGGGGAAACCCUGAUCCAGCCAUCCCGCGUGUGCGAUGAAGGCCUUCGGGUCGUAAAGCACUUUUGGCAGGAAAGAAACGUCAUGGGUUAAUACCCCGUGAAACUGACGGUACCUGCAGAAUAAGCACCGGCUAACUACGUGCCAGCAGCCGCGGUAAUACGUAGGGUGCAAGCGUUAAUCGGAAUUACUGGGCAUAAAGCGUGCGCAGGCGGUUCGGAAAGAAAGAUGUGAAAUCCCAGAGCUCAACUUUGGAACUGCAUUUUUAACUACCGGGCUAGAGUGUGUCAGAGGGAGGUGGAAUUCCGCGUGUAGCAGUGAAAUGCGUAGAUAUGCGGAGGAACACCGAUGGCGAAGGCAGCCUCCUGGGAUAACACUGACGCUCAUGCACGAAAGCGUGGGGAGCAAACAGG
rnacentral:rRNA from 1 species